GAGAGCGGGUAGAAGGUAGCCCGAUAGAAGAGAAGGAGGUUGAGGUGGCGGGUACAGAGGAGGAGGCGGAUGAGGUGGAUGACGAGGAGCAGUGGCGGCAGUAAGAGGAGAAGGAGAAGGAGGAGAGGAAGAGGUGCAAGAGACGGAGGAGGAGGAGGAGGAGGAGGAGGAGAGGGAUGGCCGGGGUAAACGAAGCGGGGGUGGUCCAAUCAGAGGCGAGUACGGGUGGGGCAGAAUACCUCCGCCCUCUCCCUCGCGUUACCUCCUGCAACUCUCCUCAUCCCCCUUUCUCCACGAGGUUGGAAUCACCGCCACCUCCAACCCGCCACCACCACUAUCCACCACCUUCUUCCUCCUACUCCAUCUUCACCUCCUCCUACGUAACGCCUGGCCUCUCCUUCUCUCCNCCCGCGGCUCCUGGCGGCUACCCAAGACAAGUGGCCGCGAGAGAUUCUCACGGCAUGAGCGGGGAUCGUUACGUACGACCGACGGCGAGGUUAUCCACGGCCGAGGAUUUCCACGGCGAUUUCCGCGCGAGUACGCGUACCAACCCAUCAUCCACGACACGCAUGCAAUAAUGACGCACGUCGACCUCGUGGAAACGAACGAGGAUUGCAACCCUUGGACUGGAUAAGACCGAUCAACCUGUGUGAUUGAACGACCACGCAUUGCCACGAGUUUGACGGGAAGAAGAAAGAGAGAGAGAGAGAGACAAAGAGCGAGGGAGAGAGAGAGGGAGAGACAUUUCUCGGAAGGGAGAGUGAGACACUGUGCCUCUGCUGAUCGCGCGAUCCACCUGUAAAUACCACGACGUCAUUAUAGAGCGGUACUUAACUCAUUAAUCGUUUGAACUUCCUUUGUCUUCGUGGCUGGUAAAUCUGAGCAUAAACUCGGC